GACGAACGCUGGCGGCGUGCUUAACACAUGCAAGUCGAACGGAAAGGCCCUGCUUUUGUGGGGUGCUCGAGUGGCGAACGGGUGAGUAACACGUGAGUAACCUGCCCUUGACUUUGGGAUAACUUCAGGAAACUGGGGCUAAUACCGGAUAGGAGCUCCUGCUGCAUGGUGGGGGUUGGAAAGUUUCGGCGGUUGGGGAUGGACUCGCGGCUUAUCAGCUUGUUGGUGGGGUAGUGGCUUACCAAGGCUUUGACGAGUAGCCGGCCUGAGAGGGUGACCGGCCACAUUGGGACUGAGGUACGGCCCAGACUCCUACGGGAGGCAGCAGUGGGGAAUAUUGCACAAUGGGCGGAAGCCUGAUGCAGCAACGCCGCGUGCGGGAUGACGGCCUUCGGGUUGUAAACCGCUUUCGCCUGUGACGAAGCGUGAGUGACGGUAAUGGGUAAAGAAGCACCGGCUAACUACGUG
rnacentral:rRNA from 1 species